UGCGUAGGCGGUAUGGUAAGUCAGGUGUGAAAUCCCGGGGCUCAACCUCGGAACUGCAUCCGAUACUGCCGUACUUGAGGACCGGAGAGGAGACUGGAAUUCUCGGUGUAGCAGUGAAAUGCGUAGAGAUCGAGAGGAACACUCGUGGCGAAAGCGAGUCUCUGGACGGAUCCUGACGCUGAGGCACGAAGGCCAGGGUAGCGAAAG
rnacentral:rRNA from 1 species